UACGAAGGGGGCUAGCGUUGCUCGGAAUCACUGGGCGUAAAGGGUGCGUAGGCGGGUCUUUUAAGUCAGGGGUGAAAUCCUGGAGCUCAACUCCAGAACUGCCUUUGAUACUGAGGAUCUUGAGUUCGGGGAGAGGUGAGUGGAACUGCGAGUGUAGAGGUGAAAUUCGUAGAUAUUCGCAAGAACACCAGUGGCGAAGGCGGCUCACUGGCCCGAUACUGACGCUGAGGCACGAAAAGCGUGGGGGAGCAAACAGGG
rnacentral:rRNA from 1 species